UACGUAGGGUGCGAGCGUUGUCCGGAAUUAUUGGGCGUAAAGAGCUCGUAGGCGGUUUGUUGCGUCGGCCGUGAAAACUAGCAGCUUAACUGCUGGCUUGCGGUCGAUACGAGCAGACUUGAGUUCGGUAGGGGAGACUGGAAUUCCUGGUGUAGCGGUGAAAUGCGCAGAUAUCAGGAGGAACACCGGUGGCGAAGGCGGGUCUCUGGGCCGAUACUGACGCUGAGGAGCGAAAGCGUGGGGAGCGAACAGG
rnacentral:rRNA from 1 species